rnacentral:rRNA from 1 species
GACGAACGCUGGCGGCGUGCUUAACACAUGCAAGUCGAACGGAAAGGCCCUGCUUUUGUGGGGUGCUCGAGUGGCGAACGGGUGAGUAACACGUGAGUAACCUGCCCUUGACUUUGGGAUAACUUCAGGAAACUGGGGCUAAUACCGGAUAGGAGCUCCUGCUGCAUGGUGGGGGUUGGAAAGUUUCGGCGGUUGGGGAUGGACUCGCGGCUUAUCAGCUUGUUGGUGGGGUAGUGGCUUACCAAGGCGUUGACGGGUAGCCGGCCUGAGAGGGUGACCGGCCACAUUGGGACUGAGAUACGGGCCAGACUCCUACGGGAGGCAGCAGUGGGGAAUAUUGCACACUGGGCGGAAGCCUGAUGCAGCAACGCCGCGUGCGGGAUGACGGCCUUCGGGGUGUAAACCGCUUUCGCCGGUGACGAAGAGUGAGUGACGGUAAUGGGUAAAGAAGCACCGGCUAACUACGUG